GUCUGCCUGGCUCAGUUGGUUAGAGCGCCAGUCUCAUAUUCGCAUGUGAGUGACCGUGUGGUCAUCCAAUCUGGAGGUCGAGAGUUCGAUCCUCUCGGCGGACA